GCCAAAAUGUUCAGAACGGCAUUGUUUUCGUUAGAAAAGCACAGUCUAUCGAGGACUACACCAUCCAAUGUCUCCCUACUCUUUGUAAGACUGGCCAGAAUGUGGUUUGAUGGCGAUUUCGCUACAGUUUCUAGCAGGUCGACUAACCACGUAGAAGUCCCCUCGUUGAUUCAUAACUUCAUUGACCUUAAUGGUGGUGGUGAUGGCGGCGGCUGUAGAAAUGAGGCUAGUGUUUUGAUAAGAGGAGUGGAAGAUCUGACGGUAACUGUAUCUCACUUGACCCUUUAGCAACCGGAUUACUCUUUCAAAUGUAAUGUUACAAAAACUUCCCUUAUUCCUUGAAGUUAAGAGCAGAGGAGAGCAGUGUCCAUUUCUUUUGCAGGCACUUCCAGACUGGUAAAAUUAAGGUUGAUUCCCAUCUGUAACUGUUAAGAGCAGAGGGAGUAGUGCCCUUGAGUGAUAACCAAAAUGGACAUCUACAAGGUAAUGACUACAGAGAAAAAAUUUUUUUAAACUAGAAUCAAGCAAGGAGGGAUCUUGAAGCUUGUUCCAAAUACUUCCAAAUGUUACUGAAGACACCUAAGUACCAUGAAAAUGACACUGAAAGUGAGAAAUGUCAAUCUCCACAACCAUCAUUAUUGAAAAUAACCAGAGUGACUUCUAACUUUCUCUUUUCAUACUAAAAAUGAGAAUGACAUAAUUCCCCUGAAAUGUAUAUAAUUAGAACAAUGUGUAUAAUUACAUAAAUGGAUUUUUAUAAUUACA